CAGAUGCGCAGAGGCUGUAAUGAAGAGCUCUUGAACUCGCAGUGAGAGAAGCUGUGACAGGAGUUCACGAGGAUUCCUCUUUGGUUCUGCUGGACAUUAAAAGGGACUGAUCCGUGCUGAACUGCCUGCAGAGCAACUUUCCACAGGUUGUGAUCAGUAUCAGCUCGUGGCUUCCAGCGUGUCUCUCUGUGACAGAUGCUUCCUCCCGCACCGCCACACCUGACCGCUCCCCUCCUCUCCACACAGAUGAUAUCACACCGCUGACGGAGACAAGAGUCCCAAAAGGCUCCGCUUUACAGUGAAAACAUGUCAUCUGACCAUGUCAGCCGGCUCAACCCAAAUAUUGUGCGUUGUUUGUAAAGAGAGGUCAGGCGACUUGUGAGCCGGGUAUUUCAGGCGCCGCUCUCUCUUAAUGAAGUAUUCAUGAAGCAGCCAGUGGGAGCAGAGUAUAGCCUUACACGACACUGGUGGUUCCGACGGACUCCCCCUCCUCCUCUCCCCCUCAUGUGUAAUGCUCCGCUCCCCCCCCUCCUGCCCGCAGACAGGGCCAUCAUUCCUAGUGUACUUCCAGCAAUGAUAUCAAAAAGGUUUUUUUUUUUUUUUUUGGUCAAGCCAAAGAGAGGUCAUUCUAAUAAUACCCAAGGUCAGUGGUGGGAGCCAGAGAGUCUCCCAGUCAUUAUUCAUUUGUUCCCAGAGUUAAUGACAGUUGCAGGGAGACGAGAACUUGGAGCCAGUAGCCAUGUGAUGUCACCAACACAUGCCAAGGGAUUAGGAGGGCAGGCAGGGGACAAGAAGUGUGGAUUAUACAAGUAAAAAAAUAAAAAAACCUUUACUGCUGAAGAUGUAGUGAAUAAUACAAGGCCUAUAUUAGUAUUAUUCACAUUUUUGUUUUAUUAAAGUCAAACGUAAAUGCUCUUCUGGAUGUUGUCUUACAUGUCUGCUUCUUCGCGUCUGACCGAACACGCUAAACACCGUCAUUC